rnacentral:rRNA from 1 species
UACGUAGGGUGCAAGCGUUAAUCGGAAUUACUGGGCGUAAAGCGUGCGCAGGCGGUUUUGUAAGUUUGUCGUGAAAGCCCCCGGGCUCAACCUGGGAAUUGCGAUGAAGACUGCAAGGCUUGAAUCUGGCAGAGGGGGGUAGAAUUCCACGUGUAGCAGUGAAAUCCGUAGAUCUACGAAGGAACGCCAAAAGCGAAGGCAGCUCUCUGGGUCCCUACCGACGCUGGGGUGCGAAAGCAUGGGGAG